AAUUUUGGACAAUGGGCGCAAGCCUGAUCCAGCCAUGCGGCGUGAGUGAAGAAGGCCUCCUGGUGGUAAUGCCCUUUUGGACGGAAAGAAACAGCCCAGGCCAAUACCUUGCGCGGAUGAUGGUGCCCUCAUAAGAAGCACCGCCUAACAACGUGCCAGCCGCCGCGGUAAUACGUAGGGUGCGAGCAUUAAUCGGAAUCACUGGGCGUAAAGCGUGCGCAGGCGGUUGAUUAAGACAGGCGUGAAAUCCCCGGGCUUAACCUGGGAACUGCGCUUGUGACUGGUCAGCUAGAGUACGGCAGAGGGGGGUGGAAUUCCACGUGUAGCAGUGAAAUGCGUAGAGAUGUGGAGGAACACCGAUGGCGAAGGCAGCCCCCUGGGCCGAUACUGACGCUCAUGCACGAAAGCGUGGGUAGCAAACAGG
rnacentral:rRNA from 1 species